CCUACGGGAGGCAGCAGUGAGGAAUAUUGGUCAAUGGGCGGGAGCCUGAACCAGCCAAGUCGCGUGAAGGAAGAAGGUACUUAGUAUUGUAAACUUCUUUUGUCGGGGAACAAAGGCGGAGACGCGUCUCCGGAUGAGUGUACCCGAAGAAAAAGCAUCGGCUAACUCCGUGCCAGCAGCCGCGGUAAUACGGAGGAUGUGAGCGUUAUCCGGAUUUAUUGGGUUUAAAGGGUGCGCAGGCGGGAGAUCAAGUCAGCGGUAAAAUGUCGGGGCUCAACCCCGGCCGGCCGUUGAAACUGGUUUUCUAGAGUUGGAGAGAAGUAUGUGGAAUUCGUGGUGUAGCGGUGAAAUACAUAGAUAUCACACAGAACACCGAUUGCGAAGGCAUCUCACGAAUCCGCGAUUGACGCUGAUGCACGAAAGCGUGGGUAUCAAACAGGAUUAGAUACCCUAGUAGUC
rnacentral:rRNA from 1 species